rnacentral:snoRNA from 1 species
CUGCAGCUAAUUAAGCCAGUCAUGCUGCCCUCCCCAGGCACCUCGUAUGCAAACAGCAGCCUCCUGGAUAGUCUAUGUAAUCUGUUGCUUGUACAGGCUGCCAUAAGGGUCCCUGGAGACAGCC